rnacentral:rRNA from 1 species
GAUGAACGCUGCGGCGUGCCUAAUCCAUGCCAGUCGAGCGAACAGAUGAGGAGCUUGCUCCUCUGACGUUAGCGGCGGACGGGUGAGUAACACGUGGAUAACCUACCUAUAAGACUGGGAUAACUUCGGGAAACCGGAGCUAAUACCGGAUAAUAUAUUGAACCGCAUGGUUCAAUAGUGAAAGACGGUUUUGCUGUCACUUAUAGAUGGAUCCGCGCCGCAUUAGCUAGUUGGUAAGGUAACGGCUUACCAAGGCAACGAUGCGUAGCCGACCUGAGAGGGUGAUCGGCCACACUGGAACUGAGACACGGUCCAGACUCCUACGGGAGGCAGCAGUAGGGAAUCUUCCGCAAUGGGCGAAAGCCUGACGGAGCAACGCCGCGUGAGUGAUGAAGGUCUUCGGAUCGUAAAACUCUGUUAUUAGGGAAGAACAAAUGUGUAAGUAACUAUGCACGUCUUGACGGUACCUAAUCAGAAAGCCACGGCUAACUACGUG